AACGAACGCUGGCGGCAUGCCUAACACAUGCAAGUCGAACGAGACCUUCGGGUCUAGUGGCGCACGGGUGCGUAACGCGUGGGAACCUGCCCUUAGGUUCGGAAUACCUCCCCGAAAGGGGUGCUAAUACCGGAUAAUGUCUUCGGACCAAAGAUUUAUCGCCUUUGGCUGGGCCCGCGUUGGAUUAGCUAGUUGGUAGGGUAAAAGCCUGCCAAGGCGACGAUCCAUGGCUGGUCGGUGAGGAUGACCUGCCACACUGGGGCUGCGACACGGCCUAGACUCCUACGCAAGGGAGGAGUGGGGAAUAUUGGACGAGGGGCGAAGGUCUGAUCAAGCCAUGCCGGGUAAGUGGUGAAGGCCUUAGGGUUGUAAAGCUGUUUUACCCGGGAUGAUAAUGACAGUACCGGGAGAAUAAGCUCCGGCUAACUCCGUG
rnacentral:rRNA from 1 species